rnacentral:misc_RNA from 1 species
GAAAAAAAAUUAAUUGCUUGGCGUUUCCCAGAAAAAGAUGGCUGAUGGGGCAACAAGCUACACUGUUGAUGAAGCUCUUUUGGCAAUGGGUUUUGGAAAAUUCCAAUGCCUUUUUCUUCUUUACGCUGGCAUGGGUUGGAUUUCAGAGGCAAUGGAGAUGAUGAUUCUCUCAUAUGUUGGACCCGCAGUUCAGCAUACAUGGGGACUUACUUCUAAGCAAGAAAGCCUAAUAACCACUGUGGUUUUUGUUGGUAUGAUGGUUGGAGCAUAUUCGUGGGGCUUAUUGUCAGAUAAAUAUGGAAGAAGGAAGGGAUUUCUAGUUCCAGCAAUAGUUACUUCAGGAUCUGGCUUGCUGAGUUCCUUUGCCCCAAACUAUGUUACAUUGAUUCUUUCUCGGUGUUUGGUAGGCUUAGGUUUAGGAGGUGUUCCUGUAAUCUUAGCCUGGUUUUUAGAGUUUAUGCCUGCGCCAAAUAGAGGAACUUGGAUGAUUAUUUUCCAAGGAUUCUGGACCAUUGGAGCAAUUAUGGAGGCUGCUCUCGCUUGGAUUAUUAUGCCAAGGUUGGGUUGGAGGUGGUUACUUGCUUUGUCUGCUUCCCCUUCAUUGCUUCUUCUUAUAUUUUAUAUUAUGACACCUGAGUCACCAAGGUAUUUAUGCUUGAAAGGUAGAAAAAAUAAUGCCCUUAGGAUUUUAGAGAAAAUAGGCAAACUAAAUGGAAAGAGAUUGCCCCCUGGUAAUCUUGUUACUGACCAUGAAGUUGAGUUACAAGAGAAGAUAGUUCCACCAAAGGAUGGAAAUGAAGAUGAUUCUGGUGUUGGUAGCUCUAAUCCUCCCAGGUGGAAGGACUCUGACAUGGGGGCCUUCAGGUCGCAGUUAAUGCUUCUGUCACCAAAAUUAAUUAGGUCAACCUUGCUCUUAUGGGUUGUAUUUUUUGGGAAUGCAUUUUCAUACUAUGGCCU